UACGUAGGGUGCGAGCGUUGUCCGGAAUUAUUGGGCGUAAAGAGCUUGUAGGCGGUCUGUCGCGUCUGCUGUGAAAAUCCGGGGCUCAACCCCGGACUUGCAGUGGGUACGGGCAGACUAGAGUGUGGUAGGGGUGACUGGAAUUCCUGGUGUAGCGGUGAAAUGCGCAGAUAUCAGGAGGAACACCGAUGGCGAAGGCAGGUCUCUGGGCCACUACUGACGCUGAGAAGCGAAAGCAUGGGGAGCGAACAGG
rnacentral:rRNA from 1 species